rnacentral:rRNA from 1 species
UGGGGAAUUUUGGACAAUGGGCGAAAGCCUGAUCCAGCAAUGCCGCGUGUGUGAAGAAGGCCUUCGGGUUGUAAAGCACUUUUGUCCGGAAAGAAAUCCUCUGGGUUAAUACCUCGGGGGGAUGACGGUACCGGAAGAAUAAGCACCGGCUAACUACGUGCCAGCAGCCGCGGUAAUACGUAGGGUGCAAGCGUUAAUCGGAAUUACUGGGCGUAAAGCGUGCGCAGGCGGUUUUGUAAGACGGAUGUGAAAUCCCCGGGCUUAACCUGGGAACUGCAUUCGUGACUGCAAGGCUAGAGUAUGGCAGAGGGGGGUAGAAUUCCGCGUGUAGCAGUGAAAUGCGUAGAGAUGUGGAGGAAUACCGAUGGCGAAGGCAGCCCCCUGGGCCAAUACUGACGCUCAUGCACGAAAGCGUGGGGAGCAAACAGGAUUAGAUACCCUGGUAGUCCACGCCCUAAACGGUGUCAACUAGUUGUUGGGGAUUCAUUUCCUUAGUAACGUAGCUAACGCGUGAAGUUGACCGCCUGGGGAGUACGGUCGCAAGAUUAAAACUUAAAGGAAUUGACGGGGUCAUAGCUGUUUCCU